rnacentral:rRNA from 1 species
AUUGAACGCUGGCGGCAGGCCUAACACAUGCAAGUCGAACGAGGGGCGGACGGGUGAGUAAUGUAUGGGAAACUGCCUGAUGGAGGGGGAUAACUACGGGAAACGGUAGCUAAUACCGCAUACCAUCAGAUGUGGCUAGAUGGGAGUAGCUUGGGGGUGGGGGAACGGCUCACCAAGGCGACGAUCCCUAGCUGGUCUGAGAGGAUGACCAGCCACACGGGAACGGAGACACGGUCCAGACUCCUACGGGAGGCAGCAGUGGGGAAUAUUGGACAAUGGGCGAAAGCCUGAUGCAGCCAUGCCGCGUGUAUGAAGAAGGCCUUCGGGUUGUAAAGUACUUUGAGCGGGGAGGCGUUACCCACAGAAGAAGCACCGGCUAACUCCGUGCCAGCAGCCGCGGUAAUUC